GGAGACGUGGCUGAGUGGUUGAAAGCGCCGGUCUCGAAAACCGGUAUCCCGUUCUUCGGGAUCGGAGGUUCGAAUCCUCCCGUCUCCGCCA
rnacentral:tRNA from 1 species